rnacentral:lncRNA from 1 species
CAAAUUCACUAGCAAUAUUAUUUGAAUUCUCAACUAUAUCACUUUUUUUACUUAUAAUAAAUUUAUCAAGACCUCCUUUUAAUGAUUGAGUCAAUUGUUCUUGUUUUCUUUUUUUCUUAAGUUUUUUAUGACCCGAAGGAUAUUUUCUAGGUAUCAUUUUGAUAAAUAAAAUAAUAAAUAUUAGCUAAAAUUAGUAAUCAAUAAAUUUGAAGUUU